rnacentral:tRNA from 1 species
GCCUGGGUGGCUCAGUCGGUUGAGUGUCUGACUUCUGCUCAGGUCAUGAUCUCUCAUUUUGUGGGUUCAAGCCCCAGUUCGGACU